AGCGUUGUUCGGAAUUACUGGGCGUAAAGGGCUCGUAGGCGGCCAACUAAGUCGGACGUGAAAUCCCUCGGCUCAACCGGGGAACUGCGUCCGAUACUGGAUGGCUUGAGUUCGGGAGAGGGAUGCGGAAUUCCAGGUGUAGCGGUGAAAUGCGUAGAUAUCUGGAGGAACACCGGUGGCGAAGGCGGCAUCCUGGACCGACACUGACGCUGAGGAGCGAAAGCCAGGGGAGCAAACGGG
rnacentral:rRNA from 1 species